AUUGAACGCUGGCGGCAUGCCUUACACAUGCAAGUCGAACGGUAACAGGUCUUCGGAUGCUGACGAGUGGCGAACGGGUGAGUAAUACAUCGGAACGUGCCUAGUAGUGGGGGAUAACCACUCGAAAGAGUGGCUAAUACCGCAUGAGAUCUACGGAUGAAAGCAGGGGAUCGCAAGACCUUGUGCUACUAGAGCGGCCGAUGGCAGAUUAGGUAGUUGGUGGGAUAAAAGCUUACCAAGCCGACGAUCUGUAGCUGGUCUGAGAGGACGAUCAGCCACACUGGGACUGAGGCACGGCCCAGACUCCUACGGGAGGCAGCAGUGGGGAAUUUUGGACAAUGGGCGCAAGCCUGAUCCAGCAAUGCCGCGUGCAGGAUGAAGGCCUUCGGGUUGUAAACUGCUUUUGUACGGAACGAAAAGCCCUGGGUUAAUACCCUGGGGUCAUGACGGUACCGUAAGAAUAAGCACCGGCUAACUACGUGCCAGCAGCCGCCGUAAGAC
rnacentral:rRNA from 1 species